rnacentral:rRNA from 1 species
GUGAGGAAUAUUGCGCAAUGGAGGCAACUCUGACGCAGCCAUGCCGCGUGCAGGAAGAAGGCGCUACGCGUUGUAAACUGCUUUUAACCGGGAAGAAACCCCAGGACGUGUCCUGGGUUGACGGUACCGGAGGAAUAAGCACCGGCUAACUUCGUGCCAGCAGCCGCGGUAAUACGAAGGGUGCAAGCGUUAUCCGGAUUCAUUGGGUUUAAAGGGUGCGUAGGAGGAGCGUUAAGUCAGUGGUGAAAUCCUGCAGCUUAACUGUAGACUUGCCAUUGAUACUGGCGCUCUUGAGUGCGCUUGAAGUGGGCGGAAUGUGCCGUGUAGCGGUGAAAUGCUUAGAUAUGGCACAGAACACCAAUUGCGAAGGCAGCUCACUAAGGCGAUACUGACGCUGAGGCACGAAAGCGUGGGGAUCGAACAGGAUUAGAUACCCGUGUAGUCC